rnacentral:rRNA from 1 species
UACGGAGGGGACUAGCGUUGUUCGGAAUUACUGGGCGUAAAGCGCACGUAGGCGGAUUUGUAAGUCAGGUGUGAAAUCCCCGGGCCUAACCUGGGAACUGCAUUUGUGACUGCAUGUCUAGAGUUUGUCAGAGGGGGGUGGAAUUCCACGUGUAGCAGUGAAAUGCGUAGAUAUGUGGAGGAACACCGAUGGCGAAGGCAGCCCCCUGGGAUGUGACUGACGCUCAUGUACGAAAGCGUGGGGAGCAAACAGG